rnacentral:lncRNA from 1 species
AGGGAUGGCAGUGCCAGCCGCAGCUCUUCUGCUCCUUGGAAACAGCGUGACCAUCUCCACUGCUGCUAGAGGAACAGGAUUGAACAUAGCUGGUUGCAAACUUCCAAUCCAUCCUCUGUCCUCCAUCUUCCAACACCUCAACAGCAACAAUAACAACAACAACAAUCUAGAUUGUAAAUAUGAGAGAGCCUCACCCAUGCCUGGAAGACAGGUAUCAGCUGUCUCUAGCUGACAGAUCCUGCGAAGAUCACUCAGAAAAGAGCCAUUUCCUGGGCUGGUGAGAUGGUUGGUUCAUCAGGAAAGGCGAUCUGUCACGGGAGCCCAUCACAGCCCGAUUGGAGUGCACUUUAUCUUUUCCUCUGCCCUGUCUGCUGAGCAAACAUGCACAUUUGGCAUUUCAGCCCUGGAAAUUCUCAGACUCUCAUUGCUCUUGCCCCAGAUGGAAACUUCAGUGUCUUUGCAGAAAAAUUCCACAUUCUCCUGCAACCUAAACCCAGCUCUUUACUGAAUCCUUAGGAUAUGCUGGGCUGUUGUGUCCUCAAGAGGGUUAUGAUACUGCGCGUGGAAUGAGAGAGAUGUAUGUGAAACAAUUUGAAAACAGG